GACGAACGCUGGCGGCGUGCCUAAUACAUGCAAGUCGAACGCAGUGGGGACGGGUGAGUAACACGUGGGUAACCUCCCAUCAGAGGGGAUAACACUUGGAAACAGGUGCUAAACCGAUACUGAUGGAUGGACCAGCGGUGCAUUAGCUAGUUGGUGGGGUAAAGGCUCACCAAGGCCACGAUGCAUAGCCGGUCUGAGAGGGUGAUCGGCCACACUGGGACUGAGACACGGUCCAGACUCCUACGGGAGGCAGCAGUGGGGAAUCUGCGGCAAUGGACGAAAGCCUGACCGAGCCACGCCGCGUGAGUGAAGAAGGUUUUCGGAUCGUAAAGCACUGUUGUUGGGGAGGCGGUACCUGCCGAGAAAGCCACGGCUAACUACGUGCCAGCAGCCGCGGUAAUUC
rnacentral:rRNA from 1 species